GGAAUUCGAUUAGAGUUUGAUCAUGGCUCAGGACGAACGCUGGCGGCGUGCCUAAUACAUGCAAGUCGAGCGGACAGAUGGGAGCUUGCUCCCUGAUGUUAGCGGCGGACGGGUGAGUAACACGUGGGUAACCUGCCUGUAAGACUGGGAUAACUCCGGGAAACCGGGGCUAAUACCGGAUGGUUGCCUGAACCGCAUGGUUCAGACAUAAAAGGUGGCUUCGGCUACCACUUACAGAUGGACCCGCGGCGCAUUAGCUAGUUGGUGAGGUAAUGGCUCACCAAGGCGACGAUGCGUAGCCGACCUGAGAGGGUGAUCGGCCACACUGGGACUGAGACACGGCCCAGACUCCUACGGGAGGCAGCAGUAGGGAAUCUUCCGCAAUGGACGAAAGUCUGACGGAGCAACGCCGCGUGAGUAAUGAAGGUUUUCGGAUCGUAAAGCUCUGUUGUUAGGGAAGAACAAGUGCCGUUCAAAUAGGGCGGCACCUUGACGGUACCUAACCAGAAAGCCACGGCUAACUACGUGCCAGCAGCCGCGGUAAUACGUANGUGGCAAGCGUUGUCCGGAAUUAUUGGGCGUAAAGGGCUCGCANGCGGUUUCUUAAGUCUGAUGUGAAAGCCCCCGGCUCAAC
rnacentral:rRNA from 1 species